AUUGAACGCUGGCGGCAGGCAUAACACAUGCAAGUCGAACGAGUGGCGGACGGGUGAGUAAUGUCUGGGAAACUGCCCGAUGGAGGGGGAUAACUACUGGAAACGGUAGCUAAUACCGCAUACCAUCGGAUGUGCCACGAUGGGAUUAGCUAGUAGGUGGGGUAACGGCUCACCUAGUCGACGAUCCCUAGAUGGUCUGAGAGGAUGACCAGCCACACUGGAACUGAGACACUGUCCAUACUCCUACGGGAGGCAUCAGUGGGGAAUAUUGCACAAUGUGCGCAAGCCUGAUGCAGCCAUGCCGCGUGGAUGAAGAAGGCCUUCGGGUUGUAAAGUACUUUCAGCGGGGAGGCGUUACCCGCAGAAGAAGCACCGGCUAACUCCGUGCCAGCAGCCGCGGUAAUUC
rnacentral:rRNA from 1 species